AAUGGUUUCCUAAUUAUUCCAUCUAUUAAUUUUCCAACUGUUUAUCUUAGUCAUGCUAGCAGGGGAUCCUGGAGCUCGUUCCUGGAAGCAUGGAGCAUGAGAGUGGAGUUCACCCCGGAUGGGAUGCCAGUCCGUCGAGGGGCACAUACAUGCAGGAGACCCCAAACUCCACACAAACACACAGGAAGAAAAACUGCAUGUAACCAAGCCCCAACAUGAAAACUCUACACAGAAUGAAUACAAGGUGAUUUUGUGUCAACAGAAGAGGAGGACAAGAUGGACGAUCAAUAUGCAGACUCAGCGGUGGAUGCACUUGCCUGCUAUGAAUACACCAGGAAACGCAAC